rnacentral:lncRNA from 1 species
CGAGCCGAGUCACCGCCCUGCGCCGCCAGCCCAGGCCCCGCAGCCUACGUCGGGCGCAGACGCUCCCCCUGGCGGGGCGGGCGGGGGCUGCCAGGAGAAUCACCAGUACCCGCCUCCUCGCCCCGCAUCCUCGGGCCUGAGCGCCCGCCCACCGGCACGCGGAGGGGCUUCCUGGAACGAUUAGGCGGACCGUCGCCCCCAGGCUCCUUUCUCCCCUGGCGGAGUUUCUGCCCGCUGCGAUCUUCCCUAACUACCACUCUGCGGUCGCAGAAGACCAUCCAGAGGGGAGAUGAGGACUGGGAAGCCCGCUUGAGUGAUGCACAUCUGUGGCUUGUUACGAGAGCCGCGUGAAUUAAAGCAAGGCAGGGGACACCGCCCUGCCACUGCUUUCUAACCUUGAUUUUCAUCUUUCCUUCUCGGAUGGAAUCUAGAAGCCGCAGGAGUUUUCACUUGCGUCUGUGAUGGAGUUUCCCGCUCCCCGCCCCCCCGCACCAACCCGAGCUCUUUUUUCGCUUGGAGCCCGUAAGUUGCUAGAGGGCACCACGAUGGCUCUAGGAGCGCUGUCGGUGUUUUCUUCUGGAGGUGAUCCUGAAAUUUCCUCCCCAAAGCAAGCUCUGUUGCGAGGAGCAGGCUGGGGAUAUGUGCAAGUGAAUGUGUAUUCCAAGAGGGGGAUGAUACGCAGAUCUUUUGGUGUAUAGGAAUUAAUACUUUUAGAUUAUCAGUAAAAUGUAUACUUUCACUGGACUGAGAGAGAACAAGGCUUACGGUUACAUCAACCGGAUCAACAAAUAUUUAUUGUACUUGUAAUGAGUAAUACUUAGUCUAUUAUAUAAACAUAAAUGGAACCAUACCAUAGCAUAAAGUCUGUUUAUUUUUCAUAAAAUGUUUGAGUUUGUUACUCAAUUCCACUCCUCUGAUUAGUAGUCAAAAUCAAGUGUUCUGUUUUAAAAAGUUUAUAUUCUCUCAAUUUUGGAAUGUCAUAGCAUUGGGCCAGUGUCAAUGGCCCAAAAAA